rnacentral:rRNA from 1 species
ACAAAAACAUCGCCUCUUGCUAAAACAUAAGAGGUCCCGCCUGCCCCGUGACUUAGUUUAACGGCCGCGGUAUUUUAACCGUGCAAAGGUAGCAUAAUAAAUUGUUCUCUAAAUAAGGACUAGUAUGAAUGGCACCACGAAGGCUCAACUGUCUCCCCCCUCUAAUCAAUGGAACUGAUCUCCUCGUGAAGAAGCGGGGAUAAAUAUACAAGACGAAAAGACCCCAUGGAGCUUUAAACUCACUACCAAUUACCC